AUUGAACGCUGGCUGCAUGCCUUACACAUGCAAGUCGAACGGUAACAGGUCUUCGGAUGCUGACGAGUGGCGAACGGGUGAGUAAUACAUCGGAACGUGCCUAGUAGUGGGGGAUAACUACUCGAAAGAGUGGCUAAUACCGCAUGAGAUCUACGGAUGAAAGCAGGGGAUCGCAAGACCUUGUGCUACUAGAGCGGCCGAUGGCAGAUUAGGUAGUUGGUGGGAUAAAAGCUUACCAAGCCGACGAUCUGUAGCUGGUCUGAGAGGACGAUCAGCAACACUGGGACUGAGACACGGCCCAGACUCAUACGGGGGGCAACGGUGGGGAAUUUUGGACAAUGGGCGAAAGCUUGAUCCAGCAAUGCCGCGUGCAGGAUGAAGGCCUUCGGGUUGUAAACUGCUUUUGUACGGAACGAAAAGCCCUGGGUUAAUACCCUGGGGUCAUGACGGUACCGUAAGAAUAAGCACCGGCUAACUACGUGCCAGCAGCCGCCGUAAAAC
rnacentral:rRNA from 1 species